rnacentral:sRNA from 1 species
CACUAUCCAUUAGACACCCCCCUGAGCC